GUUGCUGUGGUGUAGUGGUUAUCACAUUAGUCUUACACACUAAAGGUCCCCAGGGUUCACAGUUCGAUCCUGGGCAGCAAUA